rnacentral:rRNA from 1 species
UAUGUGAUCGUCUCUCGCAUAUCAAUAAGCGGAGGAAAAGAAACUAACAAGGAUUCCCCUAGUAACGGCGAGUGAAGCGGGAAGAGCUCAAAUUUGAAAUCUUAAAGGGUUUCCCUUUACGAAUUGUAGUUUAAAGAAGUGUUUUCUGUUGAGGUUUUGGUAAAAGUUCUUUGGAAUAGGACAUCAUAGAGGGUGAGAAUCCCGUAUUUGACCUUUACUUUCAACUUUGUGAUACACUUUCAAAGAGUCGGAUUGUUUGGGAUAGCAGUCCAAAAUGGGUGGUAAAUUUCAUCUAAAGCUAAAUAUUGGCGAGAGACCGAUAGCGAACAAGUACCGUGAGGGAAAGAUGAAAAGAACUUUGAAAAGAGAGUUAAACAGUACGUGAAAUUGUCAAAAGGGAAGCGUUUGACACCAGUGUUGUUUUUCUGAAAAUCAAUUAAAGAACUGUUUAUGCUAAGUUGUUUAGACUUUAUCAGCUAUCUGUUUAGUUUUGAGCUUUUCUUUAAUGCACUUUUCAGUUAACAAGUCAACAUCAAUUUCUUUUGCUGUAAAAAAGCUUGAGGAAGGUGGCUUGAGAUUCGUCUUAAGUGUUUAUAGCCUCUUGCCUAUGCAGUCGGAGAGAUUGAGGUCUGCAGCGUAGAUCCUUCGGGGCUAAAUGCAUUUGUGCUAAGUUAUAGCAUUUUAUAGACAACUUGUUGACUAUGAUUUGUCUUGUAGCUUACUCGCUUAUGUUAUUUUACCUACGCUUAGGAUGUUGAACGCGCACAGAGUCUC